GAUUCUACGGGAGGCAGCAGUGGGGAAUAUUGGACAAUGGGGGAAACCCUGAUCCAGCCAUGCCGCGUGUGUGAAGAAGGCCCUCGGGUUGUAAAGCACUUUCAGCGAGGAAGAACGCCUAGCGGUUAAUACCCGCUAGGAAAGACAUCACUCGCAGAAGAAGCGCCGGCUAACUCCGUGCCAGCAGCCGCGGUAAUACGGAGGGUGCAAGCGUUAAUCGGAAUUACUGGGCGUAAAGCGCGCGUAGGUGGCUUGAUAAGCCGGUUGUGAAAGCCCCGGGCUCAACCUGGGAACGGCAUCCGGAACUGUCAAGCUAGAGUGCAGGAGAGGAAGGUAGAAUUCCCGGUGUAGCGGUGAAAUGCGUAGAGAUCGGGAGGAAUACCAGUGGCGAAGGCGGCCUUCUGGACUGACACUGACACUGAGGUGCGAAAGCGUGGGUAGCAAACAGGAUUAGAUACCCUGGUAGUCCACGCCGUAAACGAUGUCGACCAGCCGUUGGGUGCCUAGCGCACUUUGUGGCGAAGUUAACGCGAUAAGUCGACCGCCUGGGGAGUACGGCCGCAAGGUUAAAACUCAAAUGAAUUGACGG
rnacentral:rRNA from 1 species